rnacentral:rRNA from 1 species
UACGUAGGGUGCAAGCGUUAAUCGGAAUUACUGGGCGUAAAGCGUGCGCAGGCGGUUGUGUAAGACAGAUGUGAAAUCCCCGGGCUCAACCUGGGAACUGCAUUUGUGACUGCACAGCUGGAGUGCGGCAGAGGGGGAUGGAAUUCCGCGUGUAGCAGUGAAAUGCGUAGAUAUCAGGAGGAAUACCGAUGGCGAAGGCAGGUCUCUGGGCUGUCACUGACGCUCAUGCACGAAAGCGUGGGGAGCAAACAGG